UUGAACGCUGGCGGCAUGCCUUACACAUGCAAGUCGAACGGCAGCACGGGUGCUUGCACCUGGUGGCGAGUGGCGAACGGGUGAGUAAUACAUCGGAACAUGUCCUGUAGUGGGGGAUAGCCCGGCGAAAGCCGGAUUAAUACCGCAUACGAUCUACGGAUGAAAGCGGGGGACCUUCGGGCCUCGCGCUAUAGGGUUGGCCGAUGGCUGAUUAGCUAGUUGGUGGGGUAAAGGCCUACCAAGGCGACGAUCAGUAGCUGGUCUGAGAGGACGACCAGCCACACUGGGACUGAGACACGGCCCAGACUCCUACGGGAGGCAGCAGUGGGGAAUUUUGGACAAUGGGCGAAAGCCUGAUCCAGCAAUGCCGCGUGUGUGAAGAAGGCUUUCGGGUUGUAAAGCACUUUUGUCCGGAAAGAAAUCCUUGGCCCUAAUACGGUCGGGGGAUGACGGUACCGGAAGAAUAAGCACCGGCUAACUACGUG
rnacentral:rRNA from 1 species